GAACGAGGCGCGUUCAGAGACCACGUUGGUGCUGCGAGAAGUCCAGUACUGUACCUGGGUGGAGAGACUGGGACCUGAGUACUAAUAGACUGUUGGACACUUCACUCUGGAAAAAAACCAGCCAUCCAGGACAUUCUUUCAAGACUUCCCACCUUCCAUCAAGGUCGGGUUAACUUCAUAAAUGUCGCUACUUCAGCCACCCAUCCUUGAUUUCCGCAAAUCUGCCUCUGUGUGGGGAUGGACGGGAAAACAAAGCUUCCCAGAAUUUCCUGCGAGCUGAGUUUGGGCCCGAAACUACAACUCCCAGAGUUCUGUGUGCGCUCCUGGGGGCGGGGCUUUGACGGCGGUUCGGGAGAAGAGAUGGCGGAGCAGGCUGGCUCUCACCACCGAUCACUAUACAAACAGGUGUUCUCUCCGCACUGGAAAGAGGCUUUCCGGCAGCCCCACCAUCCUUCUCCUUUUUCUCUCAAGGGAUGCCUGGCAAGAAUGAGAAACAGCCGGGACAGGUUCCUGAACAAGUACCGCCAGGCUGGAGGCAGUAUGCCAGGGAGAGCUCCAAGUACCCUUCUAGUGCAAGAGGUGAUGGUGGAAGAGUGGAACUCUUUCCAGUCAAUGCAGAACUAUCCAGAGGAGUUGGCUCAGUUGGGGUUGUCGAUUGACUUGGCUGUGCUGGAGGAAAUCCAACAGGAGCUGAUUGAUGAAGAACAGUCCAUAAUCAGCGAGUAUGAGAAGAGCUUGCAGUUUGAUGAAAAAUGUCUCAGCAUCAUGCUAGCUGAGUGGGAAGCAAACUCCUUCAUCUGUCCUGUGUGUACAAAGUACAACUUGAGAGUAAUAGGAGGUGUGGUGGUAUGUCAGUGUGGCCUAAACAUCCCAUCUCAUUCUGCAGAGCUGACAGAACAGAAGCUGCGUGCCUGUUUAGAGGCUAGUUUAAAUGACCACAGUGCACAUUGUCCCCAUACCCCUGAAUUUUCAGUCACUGAUGGAACAGAAGAAAAGCCCAGUCUUCUCAUGACCUGUCUGGUCAGGUCAUGGUCCUAAGACCCAAAUGGGCAUCCUGGCACCACUUCUACAGAUGGAUACAGGACAGAAAGCACAGCUUUUUCUCAGCAAGUCUUCACUGAGGCCCAGGAUUAGAUUCUGAGUGACAACUUGGGUGUGACAGGACUGCACAAGCAGGCUUGUGACACUUGGUCUGUGAUCCUGUAGCUUGAACCUGAUACUGUUUUGCUGGGUUGAAAACAACUCAUUCCCUCUGAGAGGCCUUGUACAUACAGACCUUUUAUUCAUAACUUAUUUUGUAUUAAAACUUUUUCAAAACACCUCUACUCUUGGAGUUUUGAUCCAAACUGAAGAAAUAGAAAAGACAAGCUACUUUGGAGGAGAUAAAACAAUUUUAAUGUCCAUUAUUAUGUUAUACAAAAAAAACCCACCUAGAAAUAAAAUCUUUGAGCACAA